GCAUGACUGGAGCUAGUGUGCAGUUCUGCAUUUUCUCUCAGUGAAGUUUUGAGAAUAUAUGCCUGGAUUUACACUGCAAGUCAAAUGAAGAACUACAAAUCCCUGGAAGCACAUAAGUUCUCCAUCAGUGGCUGGGUGGAUGUGGUACUGCACCACAAACCCUCUGCUGGCAUUACAGUUUUCAAGACCCAGGUCAAGCCAUCGUGGAGGGUCACCUAUAAAUCCCACAACACUUGGGUUGCUGCUAAGAGGACUGGAGAGGUUAAAGCGGCUCACUGUAAUUGCAUGGCAGGGGACUUCACAAAGCCAACAGGAAGUGGUCCAUCCAGGAUGUGGAAUCUGCGCAUCAGGACACCAAUCACGUGUUCUGUAAAAUACCAAUCAGUCUUUUUAUAAUCUUUUUAAGCACAACACUUAACAUCAUUUUACCCUUGUUCUCAGUAUUUGUUAUAGCACUGUUAUACAAAUGGCUAAAGUCAUACUUUGUGCUGUGUUAUUAAUAUUAAUUUAAUGUAGGAGUUUCAAUGAAAUUGUUAAUCAUUUUAUGUCCCAUCAAAUUGACAUAUCAAAUAGUUUGCCAGUCUGCGGCAAAUAAAUAUACUUGCCAUUAUGAAUCCGAAAUUUUGAUUUCAUUCUGGACUCUUCAACAUCUUUGCCUGGGAGUUGUUUUCUGCCGUGAGUGAAGGCUGGGGUUUGGAGAAUGGCACCAAGCAAGGCAAAGGUAGCUUUUUACACACUGCCGAAAGCUUAAUAAAAGAGAAGCGAUGCAUCGCUGCAAUUCGCAGAAACAACUCGAAUCCAGGCACCCAAACAUGGAUUUGCGGUUGUUAUUUUGUGUCAGGUAUGUUGGAUUUUUGUGUAAAAUCAUACCUUAAUAAUUUAUAUGCUUGGCUAGCUAAUACUAUGUAACUACCCCCCCCCCUUUGUUUGUAGAACACAAGGCUCAUCAUCAUGGAUGUUUUUUAAUAAAUGCUG